UACGUAGGGAGCAAGCGUUGUUCGGAUUUACUGGGCGUAAAGGGCGCGUAGGCGGCCUGACAGGUCACUUGUGAAAUCUCCGAGCUUAACUCGGAACGGUCAAGUGAAACCAAUAGGCUAGAGUGCAGAAGGGGCAAUCGGAAUUCUUGGUGUAGCGGUGAAAUGCGUAGAUAUCAAGAGGAACACCUGAGGUGAAGACGGGUUGCUGGGCUGACACUGACGCUGAGGCGCGAAAGCCAGGGGAGCAAACGGG
rnacentral:rRNA from 1 species